GCAAGAGUCAAAACUUGCCCGCCGCGACCUAACUGCACCUCCAGUGUCUACCCCCAUAGGGCACGGAAGCAGCAAGAAGGGCGGGAACACUUGACUGGGGUCCAUGCAGCUCUAGGCUGUGUCUUGCAGGGCUGAGCCCCCCAGGCCUGCUCUCAUGUGUCCUAGCCGCUCUGUCAGUGCCUGCCAGUGGGGUCCAGAGGAACCGUCUCUUUAACGUCUCUUUUGCAGUGAGAUGCGCCUACUUCUCCCUGGAGAAGCUCGAGGAAGCAGAAAUGCUGGAGAUGAGCUGCUCCUCACUCUCACUCCUGGGUGUGCUGGGCAGUGGGGUGCAAUGCGCACGUAGGUGCACACUCUCCCUGGGCGGCAGCGAGCAGCAGAGGUCUGAUCUGUGGUCGGAUGAGGAGAGGAAGUGCAAGUAAAGCAGCUGCAGCGACCCAGCACACCCUGCCUGCAUGGCGCUGUGCUGCACCUUCACUCUGGUCACGGGUCUGGCAGUCGGCUCACCAAUUCCUCCCGCUUCCCUGGGACUCGCCGGCUUUUAGCACUGCAAUUCACUCAGCAAACUGGGACUGUUGGUCACCCUACCUGGCAGCCAGUGAUAAGGUGAGGGCCACUCCUGGGAGGGAGGACACCUGUGGGGAAAAUUCUUGUGUUAUUUAUUUCUCCUUCAGGAUAGGGUGCCUGCAGCGCUUCAUGGGAGGGGGUGG
rnacentral:antisense_RNA from 1 species